rnacentral:rRNA from 1 species
AGGGUGGGUUUNCUUGCUGACGAGGGGGGGACGGGUGAUUAGGGAGGGGGAUCUGCCCGAAGGGGGUUAUAACUACGGAAAACGGGGGAAAAACCGCUUAUUGUCUCCGGACCGAAGCAGGGGCUCUUCGGACCUUGCACUAUCGGAUGAACCCGGAUGGGAUUAGCUAGAAGGGGGGGUAAAGGCUCACCUAGGCGACGAUCUCUANCUGGCCGGAAAGGAUGAUCAGCCACGCUGGAACGGAAACACGGCCCAAACUCCUACGGGAGGCAUCAAUGGGGAAUAUUGGACAGUGGGCGCAAGCCUGAUGCACCCUUGCCGCGUGUAUGAAAAANGCCUUAGGGUUGUAAAGUACUUUCACCGGGGAGGAAGGUGAUAAGGUUAAUACCCUUGCCAAUUGACCUUGCCCGCAUAAAAAUCACCGGCUAACUCCCGGCCGNCGGCCGCGGUAAUACUGAGGGGGCAAGUNUUAAUCCUAAUUUGGGGACGUAAACCGCACGCAGGCGGUCAAUUANNUCAAAGAUGAAAGCCCCGAGCUUAACUUGNGAAUUGCAUCUGAAACUGGUUGGCUAGAGUCUUGUAGAGGGNGGUAGANUUCCAUGUGUNCGGUAAAUGCGUAGAGAUNUGGAGGAAUACNNUGGAAUAUGCNNCCCCCCUGGUACAAA